GGUUAAUGAGGCGAACCGGGGGAACUGAAACAUCUAAGUACCCCGAGGAAAAGAAAUCAACCGAGAUUCCCCCAGUAGCGGCGAGCGAACGGGGAGGAGCCCAGAGCCUGAAUCAGCAUGUGUGUUAGUGGAAGCGUCUGGAAAGGCGCGCGAUACAGGGUGACAGCCCCGUACACAAAAGCGCAUGUGCUGUGAGCUCGAUGAGUAGGGCGGGACACGUGGUAUCCUGUCUGAAUAUGGGGGGACCAUCCUCCAAGGCUAAAUACUCCUGACUGACCGAUAGUGAACCAGUACCGUGAGGGAAAGGCGAAAAGAACCCCGGCGAGGGGAGUGAAAAAGAACCUGAAACCGUGUACGUACAAGCAGUGGGAGCACCCUUUGGGGUGUGACUGCGUACCUUUUGUAUAAUGGGUCAGCGACUUAUAUUCUGUAGCAAGGUUAACCGAAUAGGGGAGCCGGAGGGAAACCGAGUCUUAAUUGGGCGUUAAGUUGCAGGGUAUAGACCCGAAACCCGGUGAUCUAGCCAUGGGCAGGUUGAAGGUUGGGUAACACUAACUGGAGGACCGAACCGACUAAUGUUGAAAAAUUAGCGGAUGACCUGUGGCUGGGGGUGAAAGGCCAAUCAAACCGGGAGAUAGCUGGUUCUCCCCGAAAGCUAUUUAGGUAGCGCCUCGUGAAUUCAUCUCCGGGGGUAGAGCACUGUUUCGGCUAGGGGGCCAUCCCGGCUUACCAACCCGAUGCAAACUGCGAAUACCGGAGAAUGUUAUCACGGGAGACACACGGCGGGUGCUAACGUCCGUCGUGAAGAGGGAAACAACCCAGACCGCCAGCUAAGGUCCCAAAGUCAUGGUUAAGUGGGAAACGAUGUGGGAAGGCCCAGACAGCCAGGAUGUUGGCUUAGAAGCAGCCAUCAUUUAAAGAAAGCGUAAUAGCUCACUGGUCGAGUCGGCCUGCGCGGAAGAUGUAACGGGGCUAAACCAUG
rnacentral:rRNA from 1 species